rnacentral:miRNA from 1 species
GUGUGUGUGUGUGUGUGUGUGUGUGUUAGUAUGUCUGUGUGUGUGUAUGUCAGUAUGACAGACAUACUGACAUACACACAGACACACUG